rnacentral:rRNA from 1 species
GAGUUUGAUCCUGGCUCAGAUUGAACGCUGGCGGCAGGCCUAACACAUGCAAGUCGAGCGGAAACGAGUUAUCUGAACCUUCGGGGAACGAUAACGGCGUCGAGCGGCGGACGGGUGAGUAAUGCCUAGGAAAUUGCCCUGAUGUGGGGGAUAACCAUUGGAAACGAUGGCUAAUACCGCAUGAUGCCUACGGGCCAAAGAGGGGGACCUUCGGGCCUCUCGCGUCAGGAUAUGCCUAGGUGGGAUUAGCUAGUUGGUGAGGUAAGGGCUCACCAAGGCGACGAUCCCUAGCUGGUCUGAGAGGAUGAUCAGCCACACUGGAACUGAGACACGGUCCAGACUCCUACGGGAGGCAGCAGUGGGGAAUAUUGCACAAUGGGCGCAAGCCUGAUGCAGCCAUGCCGCGUGUAUGAAGAAGGCCUUCGGGUUGUAAAGUACUUUCAGUCGUGAGGAAGGCGGCGUCGUUAAUAGCGGCGUUGUUUGACGUUAGCGACAGAAGAAGCACCGGCUAACUCCGUGCCAGCAGCCGCGGUAAUACGGAGGGUGCGAGCGUUAAUCGGAAUUACUGGGCGUAAAGCGCAUGCAGGUGGUUUGUUAAGUCAGAUGUGAAAGCCCGGGGCUCAACCUCGGAAUAGCAUUUGAAACUGGCAGACUAGAGUACUGUAGAGGGGGGGUAGAAUUUCAGGUGUAGCGGUGAAAUGCGUAGAGAUCUGAAGGAAUACCGGUGGCGAAGGCGGCCCCCUGGACAGAUACUGACACUCAGAUGCGAAGGCGUGGGGAGCAAACAGGAUUAGAUACCUUGGUAAUCCACGCCGUAAACGAUGUCUACUUGGGAGGUUGUGGCCUUGAGCCGUGCUUUCGGAGCUAA